CUAGGACGAACGCUGGCGGCGUGCCUAAUACAUGCAAGUCGAACGGUCUUUCUAUGGAAGCUUGCUUCCACUGAGAAGAUAGUGGCGAACGGGUGAGUAACACGUGGGUAACCUGCCCAUAAGAGGGGGAUAACAUCCGGAAACGGGUGCUAAUACCGCAUAGUUUUCUUGGUCGCAUGAUCGGGAAAGGAAAGACGGCCUUUGUGCUGUCGCUUAUGGAUGGACCCGCGGCGUAUUAGUUAGUUGGUGAGGUAACGGCUCACCAAGACGAUGAUACGUAGCCGACCUGAGAGGGUGAUCGGCCACAUUGGGACUGAGACACGGCCCAAACUCCUACGGGAGGCAGCAGUAGGGAAUCUUCCGCAAUGGACGAAAGUCUGACGGAGCGACGCCGCGUGAGUGAAAGAAGGUUUUCGGAUCGUAAAACUCUGUUGUCAGAGAAGAACAAGUUGGAGAGUAACUGCUCCAGCCUUGACGGUAUCUGACCAGAAAGCCACGGCUAACUACGUGCCAGCCGCCGC
rnacentral:rRNA from 1 species